AGAUUUCGUCCCCUUAUCAAUUCAGGAUAACAAGUUUCCUAGUCGAUCUUGGCCCAUUUUAAUGCCAGAGACACAGAGCCAAAAACAGAGGAGCACUUACCUAAGUGAGCCAGAGAUGAGCAGUGAUGAACCAGCGAUGAACUAGUGAGAUCUUGGUGCUUCGUCUUCGACACUCGGCAGCGAUGAACCAGCACGGCAGGACACAGCCGACAGGAGACGUAGAGCGUGGCGGACUGGCGGAGGCUGGAGAGGCAGAGAGCAGCUUCGAUUUGGAGCGAUGAACCAGCACGGCAGGACACAGCCGACAGGAGACGUACAGCGCGGCGGACUGGCGGAGGCCGGAGAAGCAGAGAGCAGCUUCGAUUUGGGACUUGGGACUUGGGACUUGUUAAGGCGAUGGCGAUGGCGAUGGAGUCUCACAGAUGCGGCGAGCAACGGCGUCGGCGACGAACGGAGUGAGGGUGUAGAUCUAAAUCAGUCAGAGUCAGCUGCCGGCUGGUAAACUGAAUUUUUUUGCUAGGCUUUCUUCGAACAGAGAAGAAAGUCGCACAGUCGGCACAGAGAAGGAAGAAAUGUAUAUUAUUU
rnacentral:lncRNA from 1 species